ACUCCUACGGGAGGCAGCAGUAGGGAAUAUUGCUCAAUGGGGGAAACCCUGAAGCAGCAACGCCGCGUGGAGGAUGAAGGUUUUCGGAUUGUGAACUCCUUUUGUUAGAGAAGAUAAUGACGGUAUCUAACGAAUAAGCACCGGCUAACUCCGUGCCAGCAGCCGCGGUAAU
rnacentral:rRNA from 1 species